AGUGAACGCUGGCGGUAGGCCUAACACAUGCAAGUCGAACGGCAGCACAGUAAGAGCUUGCUCUUACGGGUGGCGCGUGGCGGACGGGUGAGGAAUACAUCGGAAUCUACUUUUUCGUGGGGGAUAACGUAGGGAAACUUACGCUAAUACCGCAUACGACCUACGGGUGAAAGCAGGGGAUCUUCGGACCUUGCGCGAUUGAAUGAGCCGAUGUCGGAUUAGCUAGUUGGCGGGGUAAAGGCCCACCAAGGCGACGAUCCGUAGCUGGUCUGAGAGGAUGAUCAGCCACACUGGAACUGAGACACGGUCCAGACUCCUACGGGAGGCAGCAGUGGGGAAUAUUGGACAAAGGGCGCAAGCCUGAUCCAGCCAUACCGCGUGGGUGAAGAAGGCCUUCGGGUUGUAAAGCCCUUUUGUUGGGAAAGAAAGGCAGCAGGUUAAUACCCCGCUGUUCUGACGGUACCCAAAGAAUAAGCACCGGCUAACUUCGUG
rnacentral:rRNA from 1 species